rnacentral:rRNA from 1 species
AUUGAACGCUGGCGGCAGGCCUAACACAUGCAAGUCGAGCGGCAGCGGGAAAGUAGCUUGCUACUUUUGCCGGCGAGCGGCGGCCGGGUGAGUAAUGCCUGGGGAUCUGCCCAGUCGAGGGGGAUAACUACUGGAAACGGUAGCUAAUACCGCAUACGCCCUACGGGGGAAAGCAGGGGACCUUCGGGCCUUGCGCGAUUGGAUGAACCCAGGUGGGAUUAGCUAGUUGGUGAGGUAAUGGCUCACCAAGGCGACGCUCCCUAGCUGGUCUGAGAGGAUGAUCAGCCACACUGGAACUGAGACACGGUCCAGACUCCUACGGGAGGCAGCAGUGGGGAAUAUUGCACAAUGGGGGAAACCCUGAUGCAGCCAUGCCGCGUGUGUGAAGAAGGCCUUCGGGUUGUAAAGCACUUUCAGCGAGGAGGAAAGGUUGGUAGCUAAUAACUGCCAGCUGUGACGUUACUCGCAGAAGAAGCACCGGCUAACUCCGUGCCAGCAGCCGCCGUAACAC